rnacentral:rRNA from 1 species
GACGAACGCUGGCGGCGUGCUUAACACAUGCAAGUCGAACGGAAAGGCCCCUUUGGGGGUACUCGAGUGGCGAACGGGUGAGUAACACGUGAGUAACCUGCCCUUGACUUCGGGAUAACUUCAGGAAACUGGGGCUAAUACCGGAUAGGAAUCCUUGCUGCAUGGUGGGGGUUGGAAAGCUUCGGCGGUUUUGGAUGGACUCGCGGCUUAUCAGCUUGUUGGUGGGGUAGUGGCUUACCAAGGCUUUGACGGGUAGCCGGCCUGAGAGGGCGACCGGCCACAUUGGGACUGAGAUACGGCCCAGACUCCUACGGGAGGCAGCGGUGGGGAAUAUUGCACAAUGGGCGGAAGUCUGAUGCAGCAACGCCGCGUGCGGGAUGACGGCCUUCGGGUUGUAAACCGCUUUCAGCAGGGGCGAAGCUUGUGGUGACGGUACCUGCAGAAGAAGCACCGGCUAACUACGUG